ACGUCUUUCCUACUUCUCCAAAAAUUUUGCCUUAAGAAAAUUUUGGCAAAAAAAAAUCUUCCCUCCGUGCCUCUUUAUUUAAUUGAAGUAUAAUCUCAUAUACAAGUAAAGAUGAAACCUUUCCGCUUCCUUUAAUUGAAGAAGAAUCUCGAUUGUAUACAAAGUAAAGAUGAAACGACCUGCACAUUCAAUAAUACGAAAAGACGAUAUUUGAAGCAACAAUUUGAAAUGCUAGUGAUUUGUACCGAAUACAAACAAUAUGGGUAAGUAAUUUAUAGAUUUUUGGGUUUAUCCAUAUAUAAUUCAUACUUCUGUAUUUUUCCUUGGAUGCUUUAUGAAUAUUAAUGUCGUUAGUAAUUUUUUUUUUUAAUGUCUAUUUUUCUUCCACUUGGUAGAAACACAGAUUAUAGGGUAUAAAGUCCUUAAGUCUGGUUUGUAGGCCUGCUUUAGGUUCUAAUUAAUUUCAUCGAUUUGUGUUCUUCGUCAAGCAGUCUUCAAGGCAUGCCCUUCAAUCCUAUUCAUUUUUUGAUUGAAAUGGAUGAAUUUGAAGCUUGGAUGAACGGAUUUGGUUUAGUUUUACUAUCAGUCGAUUCAAUAUUGGUUGCCAGUUUUCGUCUUUCUUGAAAUAUGUCAAUGUUGAAUUAUAUAUCUUGUUUUAUCAUUAGAUUAAUUUGAUUUUGAAUUUUCAGAGAGAGUUGAAGUAUAUUAGAUAUAGGAUUUAGUGAAAGGAAUUAGAAAAAAUUAUGUGCUGAAGCACGACUAUAGUUCAAUAUACUUGUUUUUGGCCUUUGAUUUAUUAUGAUUUGAAUUGUAUUGUUAUGUUGUGGGGAUUUUAGUUAUGAUAAACUUGAUAAUAGAGAAGUUCAACUUAUUAGUAACUUGGUUCUUGUACUCUAGCAAUUCAAGAUUAUGUUUCAAACACAUGUAUCGGAAAAUUUGUAAUUUUGCUUAAUGUCUUUUUUUACUUGUUUUUUGGGUUAAAAGUUGGUUAAGUAAUUUUUUCUUUGGGAGAUAAAAACUGAAAUUGAUUCUUAAAAGGCCGACUUUGCUACUGUUAAUAUGUAACCUGCAUGAUGACACAUACAUAUGAAACAUUCGUAUAGAUAAUGAUGCCGUAGAAGUUCAUACUGUAACCUGCAUAUGGAAGACGAAAAUGUAGCAGGCUCUUCAUCAAAAACAUAGAAGAGGCUAAGCCAAUCAUUCCACUCCAGAGCGUUCUCUGCUUGAAAAGAAAAGAUUGUCCCAUAACUUAUGAGUUGCUUUCUUCAUGUUGUCCAACACUAUCAUUGAUAUCCUAAGAUUGUUAAUCUAAAAGAAACCUUCUUUUCUCUGCUACAUUGCAUAUCAUAUCUACCACCACUUGAUCAUUUCGAUUUGACACGUCGAUGACAGGAACGGACUUCUUAAUUAGUAUAGUGCUAGUAGAGAUCUAUUCUCGAGAAGGUUGAACAAAUAUAUUGCUUAGGUAAUGUUUGAAGGACUAUAUCAGAAAGACCCUUAACUCGAGACCUUUAUCUAUUACAAAAUUUUUUAUUUCCCUCUAGUCAGAUAGAAUUCUUAAAAGUGCUGGAGCCAUAAGUGUUAUAAUAAGCAUGAUAGUUUUCAAUUCUGAAAUUCUAAUCUGUCUUGCAAUUAAUAUUUUCUUAUUUUGUGAUGGAUGUUGAUUAGAGCUUUCAUUGUGAAUUUAGGACAAAUGCAGUAUUUUCUAGUAGAAAUUUAUCUUUUGGGGAAUUGAUUGAAGCAGUUGGAAUGUUGUGGGAUUUAGAUGGUUGGAAUUGGAAAGUUGAUUUAUUGGUUUUUGAAAGUGAGGGAAUUAAUGGAUAUGACAAAAUUAUUUUGGAAUGGUUAAAUUGCCUGGAUUUUGGAAUAGUUAAAUUUCUUGGUUUUUGGAAUAAUUAAUGAAAAUUAUUCCCCCUUUGCCUGACCUUCAUUCUAUGUGGUGGUCGGGUCUGUUGUUUGUUAGAGGGACUUUACUAUAUUUCACCCAUAUAUCAAAAUAUGUAUUCAUGCUUUACUCAAUCAUUCAUCUUGCUUUAACCUCAUGAUUCCUUAUUCAUUGUACUGGUUUACAUCCUUACUCAUACAUAGUGAAAGAGAUGAUAAAGGUUGCAUAUUUUAAUUAUAUAGACUAUUUUAUAUCACCUAUAGGUUGUGUUUGUAUGAUGAGAUGCUUGUCAAAGAGUAUGAAUAUCUUGUAGAGAAAGCAAAGGAGCAGUAACUUCCUAAAGAUAUCCCUUUGGAGGAAUACCUAUAGAUAAUCCUAAGGUUGGACUUAAUAUCAUCAUGUCCGUUCUAAGUGCAAAGCCUGGAUAUCAAAUUCGUGGGUUGAAAGAUGGUCGCCUUCAAGACAUUAAGACAUCUUCUUCCAAUGUACACAAUAUGGAGGAGUUAGAAGCAGAAUGUGUUGCUCGAAAGGUUGAAUAUGCAGCUCGAGUGAAAAUGGAGCAAAGAACAAACUGAAGGUUGUUAAGCAACAAUUCAAUUCUAUUUUGCAGCCUUGGCAUCACUUCAUGCACUAGUUACGUGGUAAAGUUCCUGGCUUCGUGGUAACAUCGUUUACACUGUUGUCAACAGAGAUUAAUACUAAUGAGGAAAAUGAUGCUACUCAUGAGGACAAAGAGAACAACUUUGGAGAGGAUCAGUUGAAUAUCUAAUUUACGAGGAUAAACAGUUAUGUUUUUUAGAUGUAAAAUAAUAGAUACAGAGGAUGUUUGCUAUAUUAUUUUUAUGUCAAGGUGUAACCAUAUUUAGUGAAUGAUUUUUAUUUAUAUUUUCUUGAAAUAUUUUGGAUUCAAUAUUACAUUGAUUGGCAC
rnacentral:lncRNA from 1 species